GAGUUUGAUCCUGGCUCAGGACGAACGCUGGCGGCGUGCCUAAUACAUGCAAGUAGAACGCUGAAGGAGGAGCUUGCUUCUCUGGAUGAGUUGCGAACGGGUGAGUAACGCGUAGGUAACCUGCCUGGUAGCGGGGGAUAACUAUUGGAAACGAUAGCUAAUACCGCAUAAGAGUAGAUGUUGCAUGACAUUUGCUUAAAAGGUGCACUUGCAUCACUACCAGAUGGACCUGCGUUGUAUUAGCUAGUUGGUGGGGUAACGGCUCACCAAGGCGACGAUACAUAGCCGACCUGAGAGGGUGAUCGGCCACACUGGGACUGAGACACGGCCCAGACUCCUACGGGAGGCAGCAGUAGGGAAUCUUCGGCAAAUGGACGGAAGUCUGACCGAGCAACGCCGCGUGAGUGAAGAAGGUUUUCGGAUCGUAAAGCUCUGUUGUAAGAGAAGAACGAGUGUGAGAGUGGAAAGUUCACACUGUGACGGUAUCUUACCAGAAAGGGACGGCUAACUACGUGCCAGCAGCCGCGGUAAUACGUAGGUCCCGAGCGUUGUCCGGAUUUAUUGGGCGUAAAGCGAGCGCAGGCGGUUAGAUAAGUCUGAAGUUAAAGGCUGUGGCUUAACCAUAGUAGGCUUUGGAAACUGUUUAACUUGAGUGCAAGAGGGGAGAGUGGAAUUCCAUGUGUAGCGGUGAAAUGCGUAGAUAUAUGGAGGAACACCGGUGGCGAAAGCGGCUCUCUGGCUUGUAACUGACGCUGAGGCUCGAAAGCGUGGGGAGCAAACAGGAUUAGAUACCCUGGUAGUCCACGCUGUAAACGAUGAGUGCUAGGUGUUAGACCCUUUCCGGGGUUUAGUGCCGUAGCUAACGCAUUAAGCACUCCGCCUGGGGAGUACGACCGCAAGGUUGAAACUCAAAGGAAUUGACGGGGGCCCGCACAAGCGGUGGAGCAUGUGGUUUAAUUCGAAGCAACGCGAAGAACCUUACCAGGUCUUGACAUCCCUCUGACCGCUCUAGAGAUAGAGUUUUCCUUCGGGACAGAGGUGACAGGUGGUGCAUGGUUGUCGUCAGCUCGUGUCGUGAGAUGUUGGGUUGAGUCCCGCAACGAGCGCAACCCCUAUUGUUAGUUGCCAUCAUUUAGUUGGGCACUCUAGCGAGGCUGCCGGUAAUAAACCGGAGGAAGGUGGGGAUGACGUCAAAUCAUCAUGCCCCUUAUGACCUGGGCUACACACGUGCUACAAUGGCUGGUACAACGAGUCGCAAGCCGGUGACGGCAAGCUAAUCUCUUAAAGCCAGUCUCAGUUCGGAUUGUAGGCUGCAACUCGCCUACAUGAAGUCGGAAUCGCUAGUAAUCGCGGAUCAGCACGCCGCGGUGAAUACGUUCCCGGGCCUUGUACACACCGCCCGUCACACCACGAGAGUUUGUAACACCCGAAGUCGGUGAGGUAACCGUAAGGAGCCAGCCGCCUAAGGUGGGAUAGAUGAUUGGGGUGAAGUCGUAACAAGGUAGCCGUAUCGGAAGGUGCGGCUGGAUCACC
rnacentral:rRNA from 1 species